GGGGUUGUGGCUCAGCAGUAGAGCGCUUGCCUAGCAAGCACAGGUCUAUGGGUUCGAUCCUCAACACCA
rnacentral:tRNA from 1 species